CCCUUAGAUGUUCGGGGCCGCACGCGCGCUACACUGAAGGAAUCAGCACGUCUUUCUCCUUGUCCGAAAGGACUGGGUAACCCGCUGAACCUCCUUCGUGCUAGGGAUUGGGGCUUGUAAUUCUUCCCCAUGAACGAGGAAUUCCCAGUAAGCGCGAGUCAUAAGCUCGCGUUGAUUACGUCCCUGCCCUUUGUACACACCGCCCGUCGCUACUACCGAUUGGAUGGUUUAGUGAGAUCCUCGGAUUGGUCCCGGCGCGGCCUCUGGUCGUGCCGGAGUGCCGAAAAGAGUGUCGAACUUGAUCAUCUAGAGGAAGUAAAAGUCGUAACA
rnacentral:rRNA from 1 species